GAUGAACGCUAGCGGCAGGCCUAAUACAUGCAAGUCGAACGGUGAUAGUAAUUUCAUAGUGGCGCACGGGUGCGUAACACGUAUGCAACCUACCUAUUAUUGGGGGAUAGCCUUUGGAAACGGAGCUUAAUACCGCAUAAUACGAUUGACUGCGAUCGGUUGAUUGUUAAAGCUUCGGCGAUAAUAGAUGGGCAUGCGGCCAAAUAGUUAGUUGGUGAGGUAAUGGCUCACCAUGACGAUGAUUGGUAGGGGAACCGGGAGGAUAAUCCCCCACAAUGGCACGGAGAUACGGGCCAGUCUCCUACGGGGGGCAGCAGUAGGGAAUAUUGGGCAAUGGAGGGAACUCUGACCCAGCCAUGCCGCGUGCAGGAAGAAGGCGUUAUGCGUUGUAAACUGCUUUUUUAUAGGAAGAAGGAUCUCUUGCGAGAGAAGGAGACGGUACUAUAAGAAUAAGCACCGGCUAACUCCGUGCCAGCAGCCGCCGUAAGAC
rnacentral:rRNA from 1 species